GCGACGGGAGGGGGGAGGGGGAAGUUGGGUGAGGAAAGGAAGUUGAUGAGCAGCAUUAAAAAGUAAAGAGUGAGUAAAACCUACCAGCUAACCAACCAACACAGAGGAGUCACGAAGAAGAAGCAGCCGGAAGUGUGUGUUUUCCAGCUGUCUCGGUCAGGUGGUCUGACGGGCAGAGUGAGAGACACCCCCUGGAGGUCAUUCCCAUGGUUCUACCUGGAACCCGGAACCUGGAACCCGGAGUCGAGUCAUCGAAUGUUCCACCUGGUGGCUGCCAGUCAAGCCGGCAGAAGACGGAGGGCAGAAAUGAACGCAGACGAGAGGAAGGAUGGGUGAAGAUUGGCAGGCUCGCGGAAGGCCACAAAAGCCGGCGGACUCGAUGCCUUGAGAUCAGACAAUCAGACCUGAUGGCUUUGGGAGGCUCAGUCAGCUUAGGGCUCGGAAAAUGAUGGGAGGAUGAUGAGGAGGGUUAGAGAAUCUCAGCGAGGAAUAGAAGUGGAAGGAGGAGAAGGAAAAGAAAAAUGGUAUUAGAGUAAGUAAUACAGCACAAAAGGACAAAGGAUUUCGGCGAUGGAGAUUGCAGAAACCACUGGCGGAGGAAGUGGGGCGAUGUAUUUUUUUCUGCUGAGGGCUAUGUGUGGGUUCGGAGUGGAUCGGGUGUUGUUUAAUGUCACCAAACAGACCCCGAGCACCGAGCCCCUCCCUGGGUGUAAACAGCCGAGUCUAAAGGUGAAGGGCGGCGGGGACGGAUGGACAGAUGGCUGGACGGAACGAUGGAAUUUUCUUCUCUUAAGAAAGCCGUCAGCGUUGGGUUUAUGUGUCCUUCACCCCGAUCCUGCAGGAAUAGCAUUAAAACACCACCUCCCCUCCUCUCCCCCCUCCCUUGCUUCUCCCCCCUUUUUCUCCCUCUCUGUCUCUCCUUCUUCUCCACCCCCUCUCUCAUUAAAACUGUGCGCCUCGGCUUCUAAUUAAAUCCCACUUGAAAGUCUUAAAAGUCAGACUCAGAUUGAUUCAAUUUGCAUUUCUGAACAGGGAACAUUGCCUAAAAGGAUUAAUAAAUUGGUUGAAAAUG